rnacentral:lncRNA from 1 species
GACAAUGUGUACAAUAGUUAUCAAUGACACCAUCUUAUUCAUUCAUAACCCAAAAUAUACUCUUAAGUCUAAUUAACACACACCCAUGAUGCCCAGGGUAAGACGUCUUGAACGUGAUCUAAGUGGCUGAUAGCAAGUGCGAAAUGGAACUUGGAUAGACCCUAAUACCACCUUAAAAUUUGGGUUGAGCCUAACUCAACCCUAUAAAAUUGGUUUGUAAGGUAAGUAAGGGAUGCUUCCCACUUAUAAAUACAUUUUCAGGUCAUAUCUCAUUCAAUGUGGGUCUCUUAAUAAUUAAUAAAAUUGACCCCCUAAACUCCAAUCAUACUGUUGCAACAGAAGCACCUUGACAAGUGCAUUAUAGCAGUAUAGAUAAUGGAAACGGUGCAAGAAAUCAUCAACAAAAAGCUAGGAAUCAGUAGUAUUGAUCCUUUAGAAACGACAAACAUUGAAUUGAAACCUACUCAGAUUGAAUUGUAGGGAGAGGUAAGAUAAAAAUUCCAAACAUGAAAUUCAACUGUGUUCUGUGUACCAUUAAACUGAAACUAACAUGCCUUGCAAUGUGAUAGACGCGUAGUUAAUUCUAUCAUAAAUCAUAAAUUGUACAAAAGAAAAUACGGAACCUAGCAACAUUAGUUGUGGUGUGUUUCUUUUAUACAAAAUUGUUUUAUCGCCAACCUUUGUGAGUAUUCCAUUUGCUGAUAUACAAGUAACAAAAAUAGUUCGUUAGGGAAGUACCUUUUGUUGAUGCAGAACGACAAACGACACAAAGGUCAGAGAGAAGUAAAGUGGGAAUGUUUUUUUAAAUGUUAAUGAUGUUGCAUUUACUUCGUG